CCUACGGGAGGCAGCAGUGAGGAAUAUUCGUCAAUGGGCGAGAGCCUGAACCAGCCAAGUCGCGUGAGGGAGUACUGCCCUAUGUGUUGUAAAUCUCUUUUGUCGGGGAGCAAAAGCCGGACGUGUCCGGCUGUGAGAGUACCCGAAGAAAAAGCAUCGGCUACCUCCGUGCCAGCAGCCGCGGUAAUACGGAGGAUGCGAGCGUUAUCCGGAUUUAUUGGUUUUAAAGGGUGCGCAGGCGGAUUUUUAAGUCAGCGGUCAAGUCGUGGGGCUCAACCCCAUCCAGCCGUUGAAACUGGGGAGCUAGAGUGUGCGAGAGGUAUGCGGAAUGCGUGGUGUAGCGGUGAAAUGCAUAGAUAGAACGCAGAACCCCGAUUGCGAAGGCAGCGUACUAAACUGUGACUGACACUGAUGCUCGAAAGUGUGGGUAUCAAACAGGAUUAGAUACCCUAGUAGUC
rnacentral:rRNA from 1 species